ensembl:snRNA U2 U2 spliceosomal RNA
AUCGCUUCUCGGCCUUUUGGCUAAGAUCAAGUGUAGUAUCUGUUCUUAUCAGUUUAAUAUCUGAUACGCCCCCGAUUCGGGGGCAACGUAUUAAACGCAUUUUUAGAACAGGGAGCUGAAUAAGGGGCUCGCUCCGUUCGCUCCACGCAUCGACCCGGUAUUGCAGCGCCUCCGGGAACGGUGCCCCUUUG